rnacentral:lncRNA from 1 species
ACAGCAAAAAUUAGCAUAGUUAGUCACUAUAUCUAGCUAGCGAAAGACUCGAGAGAGGAAAGCAAUUCACAAUCGCGGAUGCUUCCGCCCCACCUAAUAUCUGCUCGUAUAGGCAACUUGUGAGCAUGAUUUUCGGCGGCCAUAAUUAUUUUCGAUGGUCAAAGCUCGGCCGCCAUAAAUAACCUUAUUUUCGGUGGCUAGUGACACGGCCACCGGAAAUAACUGACACGAUCAUAAAAAAUAACUGUUUAUUUUCGCCGGUUGUGCCCUGUUCGCUGAAAAUACGUCUUUUUAAAAUGCGGUCGCCUUUCUUUCUUUCUCUUUCUUCCCCGUUUCUUCCUCUGCUCGACGCUGCGCGCCCCCUACGACCAAGCGCCGCCCUCGGCACCCGUCGCCCGACCGCCGCCGAGCCCUCCUCCUACCACCGUUCCGCCGCCGCCGUCGAGCCCAUCUCCAUGAAAAGGUUAAUUUUUUGCGUAUUUUAUUCCAUAUUUUCGGUGGCCGUUAUUUAAUUGGCCGAAAUUAGUAGAUAUUUGUAAUUGUGCAUGUUUGAUUAGUGUGUGUGAUUAGUAUUAUUUUUUAGUUCGAUUCCAUUAAUGUAUUAGUGGCAUAUGUGGUUUAGUAAUUAGGGGCAUAUUGUAUUUGUGGCAUUACUUUUAUAUUAAUAUAUGGUACUAUUAUAUUAUUAGUUUUAUAAGUAAAUUAUAUUGGUAUGUAGUACAGUUGUAUUAUUAGUGAUAUGUGGUACUUAGUCUGAUUUGAUUAAUAGCAUAUCAUUCUUUGUUUUAUAAGUAAUAUAUUGUUUAGUGGCAGCGAGUGUUGGGGGCCUUCGUCUUCUGAAGGUCCUAAAAAACACAGCUAACCAUUUGUUUUAAUAUAUUGUGAAGUAUUACAGUUGCUUCGUUACCAGAAAAGCUUUGAUAUAAAUCAAGGGAAGUACGAUGAAGCAAGCUUCGUCACGAUGAAGCAGGAAGGCGGCGUAGGGAGAAGGUGUUGUUCAAGUUGUUGAGUGCAAAUGACAAUACUGUCCCUGUGACAUUUGUAAACCAUUGUAUGUAAAGGGUAUGAAUGUAAUAACGUACGAAGUUGUACGAUUGCCUAUAAAUAGGUGAAUAGUACCAUUACUAUUCACGCUGGAUUGUAAUUGUACUCACGUCGUUACCUUCAAGCAAGUCGAAUGUAUCAAUACAAUACAAACUUUGAUAGUAUCAAUAUAUUCAUUAUGAUAUAAAUAUAU